rnacentral:rRNA from 1 species
UACGGAGGUGGCAAGCGUUGCUCGGAAUCAUUGGGCGUAAAGGGCGCGUAGGCGGGGAGGUAAGUCGGGUGUGAAAUCCCUUGGCCCAACCGAGGAACUGCGCCCGAGACUGCUUCUCUUGAGUCCCGGAGAGGAAGGUGGAAUUCCCGGUGUUAGCGGUGGAAAUGUGUAGAGAUCGGGAAGGAACACCGGUGGCGAAGGCGGCCUCUGGACGGUGACUGGACGCUGAGGCGCGAAAGCGUGGGGAGCAAACGGG